rnacentral:sRNA from 1 species
AGUGCGCAUCCGGACGUCGGAGGGGGAGGUUUUGGAAUUCGCCGUUCGAAAGCAGGGACGUAAAGCCCCACUUCGUCUUACGUUUCGAAAGGAAGGCGUCUGUUGGGCCUUUCUCUCAGUCGUACUGCGGCAGGGCGUACGCGAUCGCGCGGGGGCAGCGCUACUACGGCUUUGGUCGCACAGUGUACCCGGAGCAGCACAGCAGAUGGAGGGACAGAUCCAGGACGAGGUCGCGGAGCAGAACCCCCUUUCGCUUAAGUGAAAAAGAUCGAAUGGAGCUGUUAGAAAUAGCAAAAACCAAUGCAGCGAAAGCUUUAGGAACAACCAACAUUGACUUGCCAGCUAGUCUCAGAACUGUUGCUUUAGCCAAAGAAACAAGCCGUGGAAUAGGUGUAUCAAGUAAUGGUGCAAAGCCUGAAGUAAGUAUUCUAGGUUUGUCGGAACAAAACUUUCAGAAAGCCAACUGUCAAAUCUGAUUAGCCACUUAUAUCUUAGAUUAUACUUUUUGGGAAGUCUAGAGAUGUAUGUAAUGUGCUAAAUUCAAAGUAGCAAAUCUGAAGAUAGGCAAUG